rnacentral:rRNA from 1 species
UAUUGGGCGUAAGCGCGCGCAGGUGGUUCUUUAAGUCUGAUGUGAAAGCCCACGGCUCAACCGUGGAGGGUCAUUGGAAACUGGGGAACUUGAGUGCAGAAGAGGAAAGUGGAAUUCCACGUGUAGCGGUGAAAUGUGUAGGGAUGUGGAGGAACACCAGUGGCGAAGGCGACUUUCCGGUCUGUAACUGACACUGAGGCGCGAAAGCGUGGGGAGCGAACAGGAUUAGAUACCCUGGUAGUCCACGCCGUAAACGAUGAGUGCUAAGUGUUAGAGGGUUUCCGCCCUUUAGUGCUGCAGCUAACGCAUUAAGCACUCCGCCUGGGGAGUACGGCCGCAAGGCUGAAACUCAAAGGAAUUGACGGGGGCCCGCACAAGCGGUGGAGCAUGUGGUUUAAUUCGAAGCAACGCGAAGAACCUUACCAGGUCUUGACAUCCUCUGACAACCCUAGAGAUAGGGCCUUCCCCUUUUGGGGGACAGAGUGACAGGUGGUGCAUGGUUGUCGUCAGCUCGUGUCGUGAGAUGUUGGGUUAAGUCCCGCAACGAGCGCAACCCUUGAUCUUAGUUGCCAGCAUUCAGUUGGGCACUCUAAGGUGACUGCCGGUGACAAACCGGAGGAAGGUGGGGAUGACGUCAAAUCAUCAUGCCCCUUAUGACCUGGGCUACACACGUGCUACAAUGGAUGGUACAAAGAGCCCGCAAACCCGCGAGGGUAAGCUAAUCUCAUAAAGCCAUUCUCAGUUCGGAUUGCAGGCUGCAACUCGCCUGCAUGAAGCCGGAAUCGCUAGUAAUCGCGGAUCA